AUGACACAGCAGGUGCUAUUCCCUCUUUGCCCUCUAGGGGGCGGGAGCCAUUUUGGGAGCAGAGCCCACCUGGACUCCAUUUCCCAGCAUGCCUCGGAGGAGAGGCGCCACCGCCAUCUUGGCUCCUUUCGAGGCGCUUUCUGUGUCCUAGGGGAAGGGGCGCUGAGGAAGUGGCAGCUCUUCGAGGCCAUGGCCCUUUUCCCUGCGUUUGCGGGCGCCGCUCAGCCCGGGGAGGCUCCAGCGGGCCAGAGCGAGGGCUCCAAGAGAGAAUUCAACUGGCUGACCAAUCCAAGUUUCUCCAGUGAAGAUGCACUAAGACUGCACCAACAUGCUUUAGAAGUAACAGAUCCUGAUGCAGAAAAAUCAUCAGUCCAAAAGUAAUGUAUUCCUUGGUAUCUUUUAUUAUAGCUUUUUGAAAUGUACUCACAGACAAACCUAUGGCCAGUUUUACAAAUCAAAAUCUGUUAUUCAUUCAAUUGUACUAUUUUUGCAUUUAUAGGAGUAAGUUCCAUUGUACUCAGUGAAUUCCCAAUAGCUAUGCAUAGAUUUGUGCUUUAUGUCUUCUUGUUAAUAUCUGCUAACCUUUCAUAAAACUCUGGAGCUAAUUUGCCAAGAUGUUUGGUCUUGCCUUCAAGGAACAGCCACCAUCCUCAGAAGUACAUUCAUCUGAAUAGAAUGACAUCAGUGUGAUCACAGACCCAGUAGAUAAUCUCAUGACUAAAAUUGGGGGUGGAAGGGUGUGCCACUAUAAAAAUGGAAAUAUCUGUAUACUAUAUUUGGGAAUGUAUGUUUCAUGUGAUUAGAUUUAUGCCCAUUAUGUUAUUCACUGCAAGAAAAACAUCAUAUGCAAACUAGCUCACCAUGGGCAGUCUUGCUUUACCCUUGCAAAAUGUAAUUUUUAGUUCUUUUUCAAAAUGGAUAUUUUGAGGGUUAGAGAGCUCAAACUAACAAAGAAAGAUUCAAUAUCUUGUUCUAGAGAAAAAUUCCUUCCAGGAACAGCCUAUUUUGACUAAAUGUGGUUGGUUGAGUGGGAUGGAGUUCAGGGCUUACUAAACCAACAAUAAGGACAAUAGGUGGCCUAUGGGCUGUGUGCUUGUCAUCGGUGAUUUUGCAUCACAGUCAAUGGACUAAAAAGGCCUUUUGCACUUUAGUUGUGUCAGAACCCAUUAUAACUUAUUGUGUAUUUGGACAAGCAGAGUUUAUUAAAAUGCUCUGUAAUAAUUAACUAUUCAAUCCCCUUCCAUCUUUUAAGUUUAUGCAUGUACUUCAGCCAUCCUCUGAAAGUCAUUUUCAAGCAAUCUACCAAAUCUUUCUGCCCUCUUUCAGCUUUAGGAAUUGCAUGGUGAAUAUUUUCAAUUACAUAGCUUUUGUUCUUUGAUUAUGUCUGUUUAUAAGCAGAACAACGUCCAGUGUAGAGCCACUAGCAGAAAGUGAAGCUUGUGAAAGUUCUGAAAAAUCAGCUAAGAAAAGAAAGAAAAAGAAAAAACGAGAACACAAAAAAGUAAAAAAGAGAAAAAGAAGCAGGGAUCAGAGAAGCAGUGAUUCAGAAUCGGACAUGGAGGAUGUGAAAGAUAAAAAUAAUGAAAAAAGAGGAGCAGAAUUGAAGUACGUAAGUACAUUUUAUUCUUGAACUUAUUUUGGUUCUGCUUAUUGUCUCAUGUCUUGCUGAACACCAAAACAAUCCAGACAUCAUAACAAGGUUGGAACAUUUAACAAAGAAGUAAACCUAUUAGAUACAAUUCACGUAUUUCUAAAUAAACAUGCAUAUGUGCUCCAAGUCAAUAACAAGUAUUUACUGAUAAUUAGAGAUGCAGUAAAUACUUGACACUGCCUUUCUUCUUUUCUUACCAUGUUUUUACCCAAGAAGCCUGGAAGGAGGAAGAAGCUGCAGUAAUACCAUUUUUCAGUUGUCUUUGAUCAGGGCAUUGUUGAGACCAAAAGAGGAGAAAAAAAAGCAAUAGGGUGAUAGAUAGGAUAGAAACAUGGAUGGUCAUGAAGAAGUAAGAGUAAAACAUGUUUCCAAUUUAUACAAAUACAUUGAUAUACCAUAUAUACUCAUAUAUAAGUUGACUAAUUUCUAAGUCAAGGACAGGCUUGGGGAACAAAAUUAUGAUACAAUCCUGUGAAUAAACCGAGGGUCAUUGCACAGAGAAGGGAAAGAACCAUUGCCGCCUCAGGUGUCCUGCUGCAUUCAAAAAGGUUAGAAGCAACGCUAUGACUGAAGGAGUAGAGGGAAUCGGUGCUUCCUUUAAGUUCUCCCUGGAUGGACCAUGCUCUUUCCAAGCUCAGAGAAGGAAAUGCUUCCUUUUUGGACAAGAAUACUCACUGAGCCAUAAAUAAACCUAGUUUUCUUAGUUGAUUUUUUGUUGAAAUAUUUCUAUGCUUAUUUAUGGGAAUAUAGGGUAGUUCUCCAUCUUAGGAACAAGGCUUUUACUUGGUUAAAUAAAUGUGUUUAAUUCCAGCUUGGACUAUUAGCAAAAAAAAAAAAGCCAUCAUGCUUUGUUUCUGCGUUGAGGUGGGAGGAGAAGAAAACAGAUACGAAUACAGUCAGCACAGAUUACUUUUGUCUUCGAGUUGUAUUUCUUAGUUCAAAAUGUGGGUCCCUUCUUUCCGUCUUGACAGGUCCCUUUCCCCAUUUAGAGUCAUUACAUAUUGUAGAACAAUUGAGCUUAUCAUGAUGUCCACUGAAAAUAAAAUAAUUGUGGACUGUUUUAUUAAUGUUUAGUACUUCAGAUCUGUAACUUGACUAGAAUGAGUAACUCCUUUAGCUGGCAAGCCAGAAGCAAGCUAGUGUGUAUUAGCUGCCUUCUGGCUGCUUUGGCAAAUGUCUUAUCAAACUGUUGGGAAUAAUCAGUUGAGUCAGGACAGGGGGAUGGAUGCCUUCAGAAGAUAAUGUAGUAAUAAUUUCUCUUAACCUUUUAAUUUAUAAAUGAAGGUGUGACCUUAUGGUAAUUUCACUUGCCUGUCACGACUUUGACUAUUUAUUAAGGCGCUGUGCCCUUCAUCUCUCCCCCACAAACCACUCUUUGCAUGGUUUGUAAUAAGUUCCAGCAGAAUCAUUGUGGUUGACUUCCAAAAAGAUUUGGCUUCUUGUCAACUUUUUUACAUGUUUGAUAUCUCUAUAUAAAUGUUAUGCCUCAGACAUUCGUUUCUUUAAAAUAAGCUAUGAGAUUCCUUGGGAAUGGAACAUUGGCAUGUCUUCUGAAUCGUUGAGUACCUCUCUGUGAUGAAUGUAUUAAUAUAUUGCUAACAUAAUAUAGUUACUGUAUACAUUUUCUUCAUGAGAAUAGAGGUCUUCCUUUAAAAAUUUCCCCUUUGUGUUGGGAAUUUACUGUUUUCUUAAGGAUGCUUGCCCAUCCCUCUUUAAUAUUUUUGACUCUGUAAACUUCAUGUACGCUGAUGACUCAGUAUAAACAAUAACUUCACAAUAAUAGCGCAGAGGACUUUAAAAUAGUAAGUCACAUGACAAGUUGUGACAAUUGACAUAAUAGCAAAGGAAAGGUAUAAUUGCAAUACUUACUCUAAAAGAAGAAAAGUCAGAUGAAUAGAGCAAUCCCAAUUCAAAAAUGUAUCCACGUUUUUGGACUUAAUUUUUGUGUAGUUGAUUAUUUACAGAUUUGAUUAAUAUGUUCCUUUCAGGUCCUCCAAGUGCCGUUCUAUAGUCCAGUUGAUCAUAGAGUUGAGUGGAAGACCUAGAUAUUUCUAUAGAGUGUUUUUUUAUUUGUGGGGGUUUUUUUUGUAGGGGCCAUGCCACUAACCCCAGCGGAUAUGGGGGGCUUACUGUAUCAUCAGUCUAUUUUGUCUACUGGAAUAAUCUUUGACAUCAGAGCAAUGCUUUUUAGAGCUAUCUGGUAGCA
rnacentral:lncRNA from 1 species